CCUCAUCAAUGCGGCGCCGAAACGCCGCAAGCCGGCGGUGACCUCACCAAUAUGGCGCUCAACGCCGCGGUCCUGGCGCUGCCCGCAGCAAGCUGGUGAUGCCCUCACCGAGUCGCCACCGUUCGCCGCAGGCUGGCAGCGACCCUCUGCGAGCUGCGUCUGGGCCCUGGAGGUCCCGCAGCCACCAGGAUGUGAUGGUUUGGGCUCUUACCUGCCCCCCCACACUUUAGAAGCAUGAAUCCAAUAUGAAAGCCAAAUUCUGUAUCUCUAAGUGUCAAGACCAAUCCCUUUGGGGGUGACAAAGGAAGAGACCUGAUUCUUGUUGGCAUUACUGAGCCAGUGAAGAAGAUCAUUUAAUUUGACCUGGGGGAAAGUGAAGAUGGAAACUUUGUCAAAACAGAGAAGUGAAGAAUAUUUAAUCUAUUUCCUGAAAUUUCCUUAGCUGAUAUCAGAAAUUAAAUUGCAUUACUGCUCAAGCCAAAACCAAUAAAGCACUUCAAGCACAAA